GACGAACGCUGGCGGCGUGCUUAACACAUGCAAGUCGAACGGUGAAGCUCCACCUUUCUGGGGUGGAUCAGUGGCGAACGGGUGAGUAACACGUGAGCAACCUGCCCCUGACUCUGGAAUAAGCUCUGGAAACGGCGUCUAAUACUGGAUACGAGAAGGGUCCGCAUGGGCACUUUCUGGAAAGUUCUUCGGUUGGGGAUGGGCUCGCGGCCUAUCAGCUUGUUGGUGAGGUAAUGGCUUACCAAGGCGUCGACGGGUAGCCGGCCUGAGAGGGCGACCGGCCACACUGGGACUGAGACACGGCCCAGACUCCUACGGGAGGCAGCAGUGGGGAAUAUUGCACAAUGGGCGAAAGCCUGAUGCAGCGACGCCGCGUGCGGGAUGACGGCCUUCGGGUUGUAAACCUCUUUCGGCAGGGAAGAAGCGAAAGUGACGGUACCGGCAGAAGAAGCACCGGCUAACUACGUG
rnacentral:rRNA from 1 species